AACCUUAUGGACCUGCGGGCGUAUACCUGCGGAAGGAUCAUUAUUGAAUUUUAAUGAAGAGUCUGGUUGUAGCUGGUCCAUUUAAUUGGGCAUGUGCACACCUUUCUCUUUCAUCCAUACACACCUGUGAACCUGUGAGACAGAUGGGAAAUUUUUGCUUAUUUAUUUUUUGAAAUACAAAGAUAACUGAGUGAUUUGGACCCCUCUGUCUACUCAAUUCAAUAUAAACUCAAUUUAUUU
rnacentral:misc_RNA from 1 species